rnacentral:misc_RNA from 1 species
AAAAAUGUGAAAAUGGCCGCUUCCACUGCAAAACAUUUGAUCAAAACUUUAAUUAGUUGCAAAAGUUCUUAUCGUUUAGAAAAUGUACGUUAUGCGACGGGAUUACGAAAAUCAAAGAGGCUUGGGAAAAUGCCCGAACUUGCUAGAACAUUUGAGCAGAGAUUAGCAGAUAUGAAGCUUACUGAACAAUCAAAAGCCAAUAAUGUCAACAUUGGAUUCCCUUUGACUAAUACGGCCAUAACACAAUCCCAAAAGAGAGCUGUGAUUAGGAAAAACAAACAGGAGUUACUGGCCCUUGUUCAAGAUGGAGAGUUGAUGAUUGAUCUGGAUGAGGUUGAUGCUGCAUCCUGGGAUACAAAUAAAAGGGAGCAUCUCCACAGACUUGCUGUACAUUAUGGAGUUUUCCGCGACUUGUUCGGGGGUGCAUUCUUUUAUCCCCAGGUUGAUCUAGAGGUCAGCUAUGAUAUAUCAGAAGAGGAUGAAGUGCCAGUUUUUCAUGGAAACUUGAUUGAACCUUCUCAAGUAUGCAAACCGCAGCAGUUAACCUUGUUACACACCAUCCAUACUCCCGUUUGCGCAAAUGUUGUCUGCAUGUAUAUUAUGGCUAUGAUUAUGCCAUCUUUGACUGAUUAUGUACUUUGUCAAUGUAAUGGCAGACAUCCAGAGUUCCGAAUGUUCACUAUGAAGUUGAUGGCGAUAGUUUAUGGACUCUGUUGAUGACAGCACCAGACAGCCAUCUACAGGAUAACAAUGCAGAGUACCUCCACUGGCUAGUAGCCAACAUACCAGGAAAUGACAUUAGUAAAGGGGAACAACUCUGUGAUUAUCUGCAAGUUUUUCCUGUCAAAGGCACUGGUUUCCAUCGUUAUGUAUUUAUUCUCUUCAAACAGGAACAGCAAAUUGACUUCAGAGAUGACAGGCUAUCCCCAAACACAUGCUCUCUAAAGGAGAGGACAUUCAAUACCUUUAACUUUUACGAGAGACACCAGGAUCACAUGACCCCUGCAGGUUUCUGUUUCUUUCAAAGUGAGCAUGAUGAGAGUGUUCGGGAUGUAUUCUGGAACAAACUGGAUAUGAAGGAGCCGUCUUUUGAAUUUGUUUUCCCUGUACCAUAUCAUCCAAUACAGAAGAAGUUUCCACACAAAAAACCAUUUAACUUGUAUUUAGAUAGGUAUAGAGACAUCAAGGACAUUAAUGAGGAGGUGUUACAGGAAAAGCUGAAGACUGUGCACCCAUUUAAACCUAGCACUGAUCCCAAAUACCCCCUCUAUAGGCUCCAGCUCGAAAAUAGAGGUCUCCCGUCGUGGUUAAAGAAAAAACGGAGAAAUGCAACCCACAAAGUCAUGCAGUGGGAAGACUAGUACUGUUCAUUGAAAUAAAUGUGCUUUUC